ensembl:lncRNA
GUUUAUAGAGUGGGCCAGCCUUCCCAAAACCCAUUAUACCAACGCUUCGAGCCCUGUACAGCCAGACAGGAUUUCUGAGAUUAACAACUCAAACAGCUGCUUCUCUGGCCUGUCUCCUCCUGCAGAGGUAACCAAGAGGUAACUCAAGAGGUCCGCAGUCACAACUAUCACCCACUUGCAGCUAGGUGUGAAACACACAGAAAAGAGGAACCUCAAAGACACAGGGAGGGCUAAGAGUUCCCAGGUGGUCCAGUGGUUAGGACUCCACGCUGACACUGCCAACGUUGAAGAUUCAGCCCCUGAUCCCGGAAGAUCUUGUAAGUCAUGCACGGAUGUGAGAGUUGAACCAUAAAGAAGGCUGAGCAAUGAAGAACUGAUGCUUUCCAAUUAUGGUGCUGGAGAAGACUCUUGAGAGUCCCUGGGACUGCAAAGAGAUCCAACCAGUCAGUCCUAAAGGAAAUCAACCCUGAUUAUUCAUUGGAAGGACUGAUACUUGAAGUUGAAGCUCCAAUACUUUGGCCACCUGAUGCAAAGAGCCAACUCAUUGAGAAAGACCCUGAUGCGGGGAAAAAUUGGAGGCAAAAAGAGAAGAGGGUCACAAAGAGUCAGACAUGAGUUAGGAACUGAACAACAGUGCCCUAACUGAAACAAGAAUUACCAGCAGGAAUGUGAAUGGAGAGUAACAUUCUGAGAAGAACAUUCUGGGUAGAGGAAUUGAAGUCCCACACAACUUAAUGGGGACACUGGCUGCCUUGGCUCUACCAGAUCUCCUGGAAGAGGUGACUUGUUCUAUCUGUUCACACAAUUUGAAGAAACCACUUGCCGUUGAAUGUGGACACAAGUCUUGCUGUGAUUGCCUCUUAUGAAAUUGGAAAGGAAUCUGAUUACAGCACCUGCUUUAAGUAUAAAGAAAUUUGCAAGGGAAGGGACUUCCCUGGAGGUCCAGUGGUUAAGACUCUGCCCUUCCAUUGUAGAGACACGGAUUUGAUCCCUGGUCAGGGAACUAAGAUCCUGCACACUGCAUGGCAUAUU